CGGCCAUCAGUCCCAAAUGAGCGAGUUCACUUCGUUAUCUUUAAUAGAGAAAGUAAGCUACAGGAGGUACUUGAUUGUUUGCUUGCUUCUCCUACGUACGGCUGAAAAGAAAACUACUACUCCAAGCUAAAAAGGGUCAAGUCCCUACUAGAUGACGAAAAUGGAAAAGUCAAAGAAAACUAAGCUAAACUAGAAGAACGGAAAACUAAGAAGAAAAGCAAGACAGUGGCUGUCCCACCAUUCCUAUUCUCUCU
rnacentral:lncRNA from 1 species